rnacentral:rRNA from 1 species
UACGUAGGUGGCAAGCGUUGUCCGGAUUUAUUGGGUUUAAAGGGUGCGUAGGCGGUCCUAUAAGUCAGUGGUGAAAUACGGCAGCUCAACUGUCGAGGUGCCAUUGAUACUGCAGGACUAGAGUACUGAUGAGGUAGGCGGAAUGGACGGUGUAGCGGUGAAAUGCUUAGAUAUCGUCCAGAACACCGAUAGCGAAGGCAGCUUUCUAAAGAGUAACUGACGCUGAGGCACGAAAGUGUGGGGAUCAAACAGG